CAUUACCGAAUCGUGCAAGGAGCGUAAGACGGUCGGAGGAAAAACCUGGGGGGGGUGUCUAGUAGUAUUUUGGAAGGCUGUCGCUGGCCUUUCGGCAAUGUGCCGUCUCCGGAGUCCGAUGGGUGUGUAUACACCCAACCCCCCCUCGGUCUCGGUCUCCUUCCGAACCUCUGAAGUUCCUGUACCUCUCUAACACCAUUGUGCACCUUGUUGUAGGUCUCGUCGAGGGACCUAUGUAUUCCUUUUUUUAAAAGCUCUCGGCAUGUAUACAGACGUUGUUUUUGACAAACAUGUCAAAUAAACAUAUAUAUAACUUU
rnacentral:misc_RNA from 1 species